rnacentral:lncRNA from 1 species
UUUGCAAAAGGACACAUUUCUGUUUAGACAAAGUGAGCAGAGAUGCCUCGUUCUUGUGUGAACAGUGCAGAUAACUUCUGCUAUGUUUGUGGUGAAGAGACUUUUGCAUCACAAAAGCGCAGUAUAACCACUAAGGUUAAUAAAGCAUAUCAACUUUUUAUUUUGGCUGCAAAAUUGGAGAUCAGGACAAGAGGUGGGCCCCACACAUAUGCUGCAACACUUGUGCAACAAAUCUUCGCCAGUGGUUGAACAGGAAAAGGAAAUCUAUGCCUUUUGCAGUGCCAAUGAUUUGGAGAGAGCCAACAGAUCAUACCAGCAAUUGUUACUUCUGCAUGGUGCCUCCAGUUGGGAAAGGUGUGUCAAAGAAGAAAAAGUGGACUGUGCAUUAUCCAAACAUUCCAACAGCUAUAUGCCCAGUAUCCCACGGAGAAGGACUGCCGGUUCCUGAUGCCCCAGAAUCAUUCUCACUUGAGACAGACGAGGAAGAGGAAGAGGAUGAAACUUCUGGUCCUGAAUCAUCAAUGUCACAGGACCCACAUUUUCUCCCAUCCUCCUCCUCUGAACCACACCUCAUAACACAAGGUGAACUGAAUGACCUUGUCAGGGAUUUGGAACUACCUAAGAGUAAGGCAGAGCUGUUGGGCUCCAGACUACAGCAGUGGAAUCUCCUGGCAGGUGAUGUUAGGGUUUCCAUGUUCCGUGACCGUCAAAAGGAUCUUGUCCCAUUCUUCUUCAUGGAAGGUGAUCUUGUAGCCUGCAACAGCAUCGAUGGUGUGAUGGCAGCCCUCAACAUCGUUCAGGAUCCAGAUGAGUGGAAACUGUUCAUUGAUUCAUCGAAGACGAGUCUUAAAGUUGUUUUACUGCAUAAUGGCAAUGUUUUGCCAUCAAUUCCAGUUGGUCAUGCAGUCCAUAUGAAGGAAACCUAUGACAACAUGAAACAACUGUUGAGGUGUAUAAACUAUGACCAACAUCAGUGGCAGCUUUGUGGCGAUUUGAAAGUUGUUGCUCUCUUGCUUGGUCUGCAGACUGGAUACACAAAGUACUGCUGUUUUCUCUGCGAAUGGGAUAGUCGUGCAAGAGAUUCCCACUACAUCAAGAAAGAUUGGCCACUCCGACAGUCAUUGGAGCCUAGGAGGAAAAGUGUUCAGCAUCCACCACUUGUUGAAUCAAGGAAGAUUUUGUUAGUACCCUUACACAUCAAGCUGGAUCUGAUGAAGAACUUUGUCAAGGCCAUUGACAAAACACAAGCAGCUUUCAAGUACCUCCGUGGAAAAUUUCCAAGGUUAA